rnacentral:rRNA from 1 species
AUUGAACGCUGGCGGCAGGCCUAACACAUGCAAGUCGAACGGUAACAGGAAGCAGCUUGCUGCUUCGCUGACGAGUGGCGGACGGGUGAGUAAUGUCUGGGAAACUGCCUGAUGGAGGGGGAUAACUACUGGAAACGGUAGCUAAUACCGCAUAACGUCUCAAGACCAAAGAUGGGGACCUUAGGGCCUCUUUCCAUCGGCUUUUCCCUGAUGGGAUUAGCUAGUAGGUGGGGUAACGGCUCACCUAGGCGACGAUCCCUAGCUGGUCUGAGAGGAUGACCAGCCACACUGGAACUGAGACACGGUCCAGACUCCUACGGGAGGCAGCAGUGGGGAAUAUUGCACAAUGGGCGCAAGCCUGAUGCAGCCAUGCCGCGUGUAUGAAGAAGGCCUUCGGGUUGUAAAGUACUUUCAGCGGGGAGGAAGGGAGUAAAGUUAAUACCUUUGCUCAUUGACGUUACCCGCAGAAGAAGCACCGGCUAACUCCGUG